UCAGCGUUACCGUAACGUGUAGGUGAGC
rnacentral:sRNA from 1 species